rnacentral:lncRNA from 1 species
GUAAAUUGAAUUUGACAUAACGAUAUAAUGAACAAACGAUGUAGUUUGAAACCAAUAAUAAUGUUCAUAGAUGUAAAAGUAUAGAUUGUGUUUAUUGAAGAAAACACAAUUUACACAUAGAUUGCAAUUCGAACGAAAAAAGGAAAAAAAAAAAAGUUAUAUUUGACGCAUUGUCUAAUCAUAGAUGGAGUUGGAUUUAAGCUCUUUCGCCACGGAUUCUUCUGGCAAGUUGGAUAUCUUUUGGCAUUAUUGUUACACGCUUAGCAUGAAUGG